UACGUAGGUGGCUAGCGUUGUCCGGAUUUACUGGGCGUAAAGAGCGCGCAGGCGGUCGUGCAAGUCGCGUGUGAAAGCCCCCGGCUCAACUGGGGAGGGUCACGCGAUACUGCUCGACUCGAAGGCAGGAGAGGGAAGUGGAAUUCCCGGUGUAGUGGUGAAAUGCGUAGAUAUCGGGAGGAACACCUGUGGCGAAGGCGACUUCCUGGCCUGUUCUUGACGCUGAGGCGCGAAAGCUAGGGUAGCAAACGGG
rnacentral:rRNA from 1 species